CAGCGUGAUGUCGUGCUUGAACGUCCACGCGUGUUCGAGGCGCGCGCUCCACAGCGCGCUGGUGCCGAAUCCUCUCUCGUUGU
rnacentral:tRNA from 1 species